CUUUCCUCGAUUUUAUAGUAAAUUUUGAAUACCAAGUUUAGAUUACAAAAAUAAUCGCUGGAAAAAUCUGAUCACACCGUUCAGCGGUUUCACUUUCCAUUUUCACUUUCCAAAUAGGCUGUUGUCUAAAUUUAGACAAUUAGGUCAUUUAGCUGCACAUACAAGAACGCACAGUGGAGACAAUGUACCUUAUGAAUGUGAUGUUUGCAAGAAGAGAUUCGUAUAAAACAAGACGCCUGCUCAGGCGUUCACACUGACCUGAAAAUGACGACAUACGUGCUAUGAUGCAGUACACAAGAAUCAAGUCGUAAACCGCAAGCAAAUUGUAUGGAUUUUUUAAAAAAAUAAAAGACGUUUUCGGGAGACCUAUCGUGCAAAUCUAUAACUAGGAGUUACUAUCGCAAGGAAAGUGCUGCCUUUUUGCCACAUGAUCUGAAUGCAAAAGUUUGUAUUUCUAAACAAUUCUCUAAAGGGAAGUUUACUUUUGACCCAAUGGCAUCAUUUCCACGUUUCAUCAUUGGUAGAAUGGCAGGCCUCCACAUGAAGGUUAUAUCCCCUAUGUUUCCUGCACAAAUUUGUUUCUCGUUCAUCAUUUAAUAAGCAAGCUAAGUGGAUAUUAAGGUCUACUAAUCUAUUAGCUGGCAACACACACUACUUUCAGUAAUAACUCUGACUAACGCCAGACAAAUUUACACCGUGUACCGUCAGACGAUUUUACUUGUCAGUGGUAGAGUACUGUCAGUAAAUAGUUUAACAAACACAUCUGUCAAUGUCUUUUAUUAAACCAUUAGCCGGCAAUGCACCCUACUUUAGUAUUUACUGUCUAUCUACUUUAGUAUUUACUGUAUAGACAAUUGCACUGCCAGCAAAGUACUGCCUGUAUUAAAAUGGGUUAAUUUCGCGUCACGC
rnacentral:lncRNA from 1 species